UAGGGAAUCUUGCGCAAUGGGCGAAAGCCUGACGCAGCAACGCCGCGUGCGGGAUGAAGGCCUUCGGGUUGUAAACCGCUUUCAGCAGGGACGAAAUUGACGGUACCUGCAGAAGAAGCCCCGGCCAACUACGUGCCAGCAGCCGCGGUAACACGUAGGGGGCGAGCGUUGUCCGGAUUUAUUGGGCGUAAAGAGCUCGUAGGCGGUUCCGUUAGUCGGGUGUGAAAACUCAGGGCUCAACCCUGAGACGCCACUCGAUACUGCGGUGACUAGAGUCCGGUAGGGGAGCGUGGAAUUCCUGGUGUAGCGGUGAAAUGCGCAGAUAUCAGGAGGAACACCAACGGCGAAGGCAGCGCUCUGGGCCGGUACUGACGCUGAGGAGCGAAAGCGUGGAGAGCGAA
rnacentral:rRNA from 1 species